UUUGAAAGUCUGUUCAUUUUUUUUUUUCCAAAUAGGAACUAUUUUCCUUUAAAUAUCUGCAUUUUGCAAUGAGAUGAGUGUUUCCUUGUAUAAGUCCCUGUUAAAUUACAGCCCACUGCAGUUCAUUCAUUCGUUCAUUCAUUCCGCUAUUUAUUUAUUAACAGGGCAUCCUACAACACACCAAGGUCAUUUGAAUUUUAAUCCUGUUUUGGAACAUACUUAGCAAUCCAGAACAGAUUCAUGUCCUCCACAAGGGAUCCUUUCCUCUCCCACCAACCUUGUCCUGGAGGGAAGUGCAAAUACCACAUCAGAGCCAGCACGGAUGCCAGCACAUCCCAGCUUGAUGCAUGUGUCCGUUUUGAAAGCUAACCCUUUGUACCUACCCAUUAGUAGAGCUUUUUCUCUGGUCCUGCUUCCUAGUUUUGUUUGGGUCCUAUUUUCCUUUCUUGCAUGAAAGAUGAUGAGAAACUGUGUUUAGAGCCUUCUUACAGGUGACACCCUCUGUUUCUCUGCCAUGCUCAAGGUUUCUUUCUCCGUACUUACACUGAACUAAGAGCUUCCAUCUGCCAUAGAACCUGACAAAUUCUUGUGACCAUUCCAUGGCCCAGAAACCACCUGGUUCUAUUGGAAUGAUUGUUUUCCAAAAGAAGGUGGCCACACAUAAUUUACCUCCUACAGACAGCCACAAUAACUUCUUGCAGUCUGCCUAGGUCAUAGUUUUGUACUAAGAGACCUUCCUAUUCAUGAGUAACUUAAUGCAUUGGAUGUAGCCUUCAAAUAUGCUACAGUGAGAUCCAUAAUUCCUGGAUGCUUACAAAAAAACACAGUCUCAUUAGCUGAACAGCUUGUUAGCACACUCUUUCCUGAUUCCAGGCUGGGUUCAUAUAUCCCUUUUCCAUUAGCAUCAGCAUCCUAGCCUCACACAACAGGUUUUAGCAAGCUGUCCUUACAGCUCAUUGCUCAGCAAUGCUGCUCCAAACUACCUAUCUCUACAUUUCCAUGCCAUGCUGAAGGCAGGAGACUCACCAUGGCCUUGUCUUCACACAGGUAUGGAGAAAUAUGUUUCAAGUUGUAUUCUUGGUGAUGUGCUGAGGACGGGCUUGUGACAUUGGGUCACUCAGUGGGGCAGCAGCACAGUUAAGGGUCUUGAGAAUGCAACGUUAUGGGGGUUCCCUUGGGCAGGAGGUCCUCAGUGAGCUCUUCCUACAUCUUAUUACUUCCGAAUGCUCUCACCCUUUUCCAGCUCCCCAAGUAGGUGUCCUGGACAUGGUCGGUCUGUGGAUCAAAGUUAGGGCUGACCCAGAGCACUGGGGCUUGUACCAGGAGGGUGGCUGCCCUCUGACUGCAGGAGAUGCUGAAGCCAUCUAUGGUGAGUCUCACAUGUAAUCUGGGAGACUUUACAUGUCUGAAGGGAGCUCUUAGUUUGUGCUCUCUGGUGACUGGCUUAGCUGAACCUGCUUUUACGAUGUUCUUUUUGGAAGAACUGCCUAUGAGUAACUGUUGAUUUUGCUGUAGCCCUGGACAUCGCUUGUUUAUUUAAACUUUCCUUGGGUGAGGUGACCUUCUUGCGUAUCAGCUGCAAAGUUGACAAGUUUAUCUCUCACCACUGAUUCAGCCCUCCAUUCUCCUCGCAGGCAAAAUCCUGUCAUGUGGUGUGGGAAUUUGUUUAGCACGACAGUUUAUCCUACAUAUUCAUCAUCUUCAGCUUUCAGCUGCAGUGAAAGUCAUCCUUUCAAGAGCAAGCAGAAAGUCAGGAUGGUGAAGCACUGACACAGGUUGCCCAGAGAGCUGGUGGAUGCCCCAUCCCUGGAGACAACCAAGGUGAGGCUGGAUGGGGCUCUGAGAACCUGAUGGAGCUGAGGGAGCCCCUGUUCAUUGCAGGGGAGUUGGACCAGAUGGCCCUUAAGGGUCCCUUCCAACUCAAACAAUUCAAUGAUACUAAGAUAAAUUCCUUUCUGGGUAUAGGGAGCCUGCUGUGGUCUUCUCUGCAUUGCAGUCCUCACCUUGUACCAGCCUGAUCAUUUAUCAGCUUCAUUUCUGCUUCUCUCAUCAGUUUGUACAGGACUCAAAGAGCAGAGGAAGAGAGGAUCAGGGGUCUUAACUCUCUUAUGAACUGUUUUCAUUACUUGUAGGAGGAGAAUCUUAAACUUCAGACUUGUUUCUUAAAAAAGAAAUACAUUUCACCAAUUUAUUCCUAUUACACCAGAGCAUAAAUCUGGCACAAGAACUGUUAUAUCAAUGUGUCCUUGACCCUGAAGAGCUUGUAUGGUUGGGACCACUAAGAGCAACAUCAGGUUUAGGCCACAAAACUGUCUUAGUUUGCAGUGUGGGUCAAACCUGCAGAGGUUCUCAGGGCGGCAUUGAGGCACUCAAAGCCGUGGAGUACAAUAACAGCAGCUCUGCUCCAAUUUCUGUGCCUUUCAGCAGGAUGUUAUUAUAUUAUCCUUACAUUCUUAACAGGGAAACCAGGGCACACCCACCCACCCAUGGUUCCUAAGCCACUGCUGCCUACAUACAUCACAGGGAAUACGUACAAGGCUUCAUGAGCCCUAGCACAUUUCAGCAUCCCACAGCCAUACUGUUCCUCAAAGGCAGGUUUUCAUCCAGCAGUCUGGAACGCUAUUGGAUUUAAUUCUCUGUUUCCAUGUUUGAACGGCUCUGAAGGGAGUGUUAGCUUCCCAAGUUGAACUGGCUCUCACGUCUUGUGGUCAUUUCUUAAUUCCCCAGGAAUGGCCUUUGGUGGAAGCAUUUCUAGCAUCCAUGUGAACAACUUCUCACUUUCCUCACUCUGGUUUUCCUGUUUGUGACUGAAUUCCAGGCAAUUUUCUUUCCUCAAAGAAUACCUCUCCAAAAACAACUACCUUAGGCAAGCAAAGAAGAACCAAAAAUACAAAGAAAAAUUUCUCCAUGCUCAGAUCAUCCUUUUGGCAGCCUCUCAGCUCCAUUGCAAAACUCAUAUAUCUUUCAGCAUUCCUGGCCAAAGAUUUUCUUAGAGAGCAGUGCUAUUCCACCACAUGGAUAUUUGCACAGAGAUGACUUGUUAUGAAAACCUACACAGUGCACCAGAGAGUAUGGGGUGACCCAGAGUCUUCCAGAUAUGAUCAUAAAGAUACUUAAAAUUGAGUAAGAUGUAGUGAGUACCUAGGGAAAGGAUUUUUGGGAAAGUAAACGGUACAGUAAUGGAGCCUACAGCUGAGCCCAUAGUUGUCUGUUGUAGGAUAAGAAAAAUCACCCUCUAAACUCUAAUAACUGAUAAGAGGAUAAAGGCAAAAUAUUAUCAGGUGAUGAAUUCUUGGAUGUAUAAGGUGAAGCUUCAGGGUUCCUGAAGGAAAUUCCACAAAGCAAUUGAUAUUAGAUCUAAAACAGGCUUCUAGAAGAAGUCACAUGAAUCACUGAGUUCCUGUUCUUCUCUCAUGUCUAGAGAGAUACAUGGAUGUCCAGCUGAGACAGAGAUCCCUAAUUGUCAGAUUCUUCUUUUAAUUCAUCAAGGAGAGACACUGUAUAUUCAUCCCAAUAGUCCCAAUAAUCCCAAUAGAGAUAUUGCUCUUAAAGAGUGUUUAAAAGCCAAAUUAUUAAUGAAAUACCUUGCUGGUUGAUUUUUUAUUUGGGCACAAUGCAAAUAAUGUAUAUGCAAAAGAUGGGAAUGAAACUCAGAGGAAAGUUUGAGUUGUCCCCAAAACACUGCUGAGAGCUUAUGUGAAUUUUGCUACCCAUCUCUGCCUCCUGCAGUCUCAAAGAAAUUACUGUCUAGUUUACAUGACCUCAGAGAAACAGCCUAGGAAGAAAGAAUGAGUACAACAGACUAUGGCAAUAGAAAGGAGAGCAGCAAACUGCCCUCUCUGUCUGCUAAGAACAGGGAAGGCCACAGGUUUGGAAAGCACCUCUCAAAACACAGGUCAAGAAGGUGGAAAAUCUAAAGGAGAUGGCAUACUCCCAGGAAGGUUUUGCCUUGUCUCACUGCAAAGGGAGACCAGAGUGAAGAAGUUCAUUUGUACAAGCUUAAACAACACAAGCCUACAGAAAGGCCUUGGGUCUUCUGAACUCCCCACCUGCAUAUGAGGCUAUGGACUCUACAAAAGAAGAAAGUUCAGGAGUACUCCUCCAAAAUAAGCAGAAAUUACAGAGUUAUGAGUAAAGAUGUAGUCUGGCGUAGUGGAGACCAGGACUUUUUCGAUUUGUGGGCUCUUAGAUGAGCUAUCAGAAACCUGAUUCAGCUGCCUGCACAGAGGGUCAUUGGAGAUGUUCUCAGAGGACUUAACUUGUCACCAGCUCCUGAAGGCCCCGUUGGCCCCAUAUCAGAUCUGUCAGUGAUUUGUGCAUGUCCAAAGCACCUGAAGGAACCCAACUGGCUGUUGCUAUCUAUGCUCUGACAGCUGAGCCAAACCCCUAAGUUCCUUCUCCAGCCACGGAGCUUUGAUGUUUCCAGUGACCAUUUCCAUUGCUCUCCACCAACUCAGUCAAUCACUGCUGAAACUGUCUUUUGCUCUUCCCUGACUGCUGGUUUAAAUAAAUUGUAUCUUGCCCUGUGGCUGAGUUGGCAGAUAAAUGGCAAGCACACAAAACCAUAUAUGCCCUUUCUAUCAAAAAUG